UCCGUGUUCACCACGGCAGUCUCCUUAGAGAGCCCAACUGAAUGCUGGCAACUAAGGACAAGGGUUGCGCUCGUUGCGGGACUUAACCCAACAUGUCACCACACGAGCUGACGACAGCCAUGCAGCACCUGUCACCUCGUCGUAUUGCUACGAACUCCCUGUCUCCAGGGAUAGCGAGGGAUGUCAAACCCAGGUAAGGUUCUUCGCGUUGCUUCGAAUUAAACCACAUGAUCCACCGCUUGUGCGGGCCCCCGUCAAUUCCUUUGAGUUUUAGUCUUGCGACCGUACUUCCCAGGCGGGGUACUUAGUGCGUUAGCGCCGCUUCGGCGGGGGUCAAGACCCACCAAAGCUAGUACCCAUCGUUUACGGCGUGGACUAC
rnacentral:misc_RNA from 1 species